rnacentral:rRNA from 1 species
AUUGAACGCUGGCGGAAUGCUUUACACAUGCAAGUCGAGCGGCAGCGCGGGGCAACCUGGCGGCGAGCGGCGAACGGGUGAGUAAUGCAUCGGAACAUGUCCAGUCGUGGGGGAUAGCCCGCCGAAAGGCGGAUUAAUACCGCAUACGCCCGGGAGGGGAAAGCGGGGGACCUGAAAGGGCCUCGCGCGAUCGGGUUGGCCGAUGUCCGAUUAGCUAGUUGGCGGGGUAAAGGCCCACCAAGGCGAUGAUCGGUAGCUGGUCUGAGAGGAUGAUCAGCCACACUGGGACUGAGACACGGCCCAGACUCCUACGGGAGGCAGCAGUGGGGAAUUUUGGACAAUGGGGGCAACCCUGAUCCAGCCAUUCCGCGUGAGUGAAGAAGGCCUUCGGGUUGUAAAGCUCUUUUGUCCGGAGCGAAACGGUUGUGGUGAACAGCCACGACUACUGACGGUACCGGAAGAAUAAGCACCGGCUAACUACGUGCCAGCCGCCGCAGUAA